AAACUAUAUAAGGGACAGGUAUGGAGCAUGAAUGAUAUAAAAAGUUUCUGAACACUAUAACUACUCUGAACAAGAGAACUAGGCUGAAAUAACGUGUAAUGUUUUACAUGUAAAACAUGUUGGAUUAUUUUCAUCAUGCGUUCUAAAAUCAUUCUCGGAAGAAUGAUGUAAAUGGGGUUAUCCAGGACACUGUUAAAUCUCCUACUCUCAGCCCCUCACUGAACAGAGCAGACGCAGAUACAGACAGAGAGAGGUGAGAGUGCAGCGGGAGAGCAGGACCUCGCGCUUGCAGGAUAGUACUGGUGAUAUUUGGAAAAUCGCUAAGGCUUGUCCAAAAAGCCGCUAGAAUUGUUGCUAGGUGCUUUUUUUUUUUUUUUGCAAAAAAAGUUACACUUCUCUCUCCAAUUAUCUUUAAACAUUCUUGUUGACAACUUUUUUUUUUUUAUCAGUUUGCCAAGCCAGCUAAAUAACUUAUAUAAACGUGUGUAAUUUGGAUAAACCACAACAGCGGAUCUGCUACAGAAGCCGAGCUGGAUCAUGCUUAGAAAACCAAACAGAUAUAUUAUAUAUCAUAUAUAUUUCAACUCUAUGUUUAUCUGCUCUGCUUCAGAAUGUUUUAAAAAUAACCGGCUCGGUUCAGAAAUGGUUCACAUAGACCGUAAACGGACACAGCAGCAAAAUAUCAUAUUUAGGCGGUAAUAAUAAUUAAUGUGUAGAGUAAUGAGAUUAUUGGUGUGCAUGUAAACAAACUGAGUGACUCAAUGAACAAUAUUUCUUCUUGAGAAAAGACCAAAACUCACACUCAGUCUCUCCACCAUCAGUUCCAGCUCCUCCUGCAGCUGCUUGUCCUCCUCUGACUGAAAAGACAUCAACAAUCAACACAAAAUACUGUAGAAUAUCAGUUGAGGAGUCAUGAGCAGUGUGAACGUGUGAGAAUGAAACCCUGUCAUGUGAUUACUGCGGUCAGUCAUGAAGGAAUUACUACUCAUAAAAACAUUAAAAAUACCAGUCUGCUGUACAGAACCUUGUUAAAGUGGCGUGUUUGAUAUAAAUACAGUGUUAUUUGAACGUUUCAGGGUCUAAACACGUCCUCAUGCGCGAUAAUAACGGCUUUUAAACGUUGAACAUUUAAAAUCUUAAAACCUCAACGUUAAAACUAGCGCGUUAUCAAGCUAGCUUUAUCGGCUAGCGACAACACCCGCCUCUCAGGCUAGGAUUGGCUGACGAACUCCGCUCGCGCUUACACUCGCACUGCUGAUUAGUCAGUCAGAAUGCACGAGCAGCCAAUGACAGUAACGCCCGUGAAGUUCAUCGUAAUACGGGUGGGGGAAAAAAAAAACAACCACCUCACUUCUAGCUAGCUAGGUCGUGCUAAUAAACCAGGUUGUCAUUUGACUUCAAACAAGCUACAGUUCAUCGUUGUUUUUCUGUAUUUGAUAGUUUUAAGAAUGAAAAUAAUGACAACUAGUCGAUUAUUCAGUCGGAUUUAAUAACGUGAACAAAGGGGAAAAAAACAAAGGACCGCUAGCUAGCGAAUAAGGGAAGCUAAUUACUAGCAUGAAUUACUUGCAUCUCAAAUGAGUCUCUAUUACACAUAAACACCAUUACAUAAAGUGAAUAUGUGGAUUAUUCUACACCCAGUGUAGGGCGCUUAGACAGGGAAUAAUGAAUGAUUUAGGAUCAGGCCUGUGAAUAAACCGCAGCGCUAGAGCUAACCCCAUGGAGGCAGUGACUCAGGCAAAUUAGCCCAGUGUUCACACUUACCAGCUCCUGCUCCUCUUUCUUCUCUUAUUCUUCCCGGCAGGUUGUUUAUCCUUCUCGUCGGUUUUCUCGGGUUUGGUUUUAUCUUUAUUCUUUGACUCCUCCAUCGUUGCAAAAAAAAAAGAAAUAAAAUACAAAAGAUUUAUCCGACACUCCCAAAUAAACGAAAGCAGCCGGGUGUCUUGACUUCUUCUACCACAGGUGUGCUGGUAGAUCGUGUUGAAUUGUGAACUCGCACGCCGUCUAAC
ensembl:lncRNA